rnacentral:rRNA from 1 species
CCUACGGGUGGCAGCAGUGGGGAAUAUUGGGCAAUGGGCGCAAGCCUGACCCAGCAACGCCGCGUGAAGGAAGAAGGCUUUCGGGUUGUAAACUUCUUUUGUCAGGGACGAAGCAAGUGACGGUACCUGACGAAUAAGCCACGGCUAACUACGUGCCAGCAGCCGCGGUAAUACGUCGGUGGCAAGCGUUAGCCGGAUUUACUGGGUGUAAAGGGCGUGUAGGCGGGACUGGAAGUCAGAUGUGAAAACCACGGGCUCAACCUGUUGCAUGCAUUUGAACCUGUAGUUCUUGAGUACUGGAGAGGCAGACGGAAUUCCUAGUGUAGCGGUGAAAUGCGUAGAUAUUAGGAGGAACACCAGUGGCGAAGGCGGUCUGCUGGACAGCAACUGACGCUGAGGCGCGAAAGCGUGGGGAGCAAACAGGAUUAGAUACCCCGGUAGUC